GGAUCAGACUUUGAUUCUGGCUCAGGAUGAACGCUAGCCACAGGCUUAACACAUGCAAGUCGAGGGGCAGCAUGACGAUAGCUUGCUAUUGUUGAUGGCGACCGGCGCACGGGUGAGUAACGCGUAUCCAACCUGCCCUUGUCCAUCGGAUAACCCGUCGAAAGGCGGCCUAACACGAUAUGCAGUUCUCAGCAGGCAUCUAACGAGAACGAAAUGUAAAGGAGAAGGAUGGGGAUGCGUCUGAUUAGCUUGUUGGCGGGGUAACGGCCCACCAAGGCAACGAUCAGUAGGGGUUCUGAGAGGAAGGUCCCCCACAUUGGAACUGAGACACGGUCCAAACUCCUACGGGAGGCAGCAGUGAGGAAUAUUGGUCAAUGGACGGAAGUCUGAACCGGCCAAGUAGCGUGCAGGAUGACGGCCCUAUGGGUUGUAAACUGCUUUUAUACGGGGAUAAAGUGAGCCACGUGUGGCUUAUUGCAGGUACCGUAUGAAUAAGGACCGGCUAAUUCCGUGCCAGCAGCCGCGGUAAUACGGAAGGUCCGGGCGUUAUCCGGAUUUAUUGGGUUUAAAGGGAGCGUAGGCCGUUUGUUAAGCGUGUUGUGAAAUGUCGGGGCUCAACCUGGGCAUUGCAGCGCGAACUGGCAGACUUGAGUGCGCGGGAAGUAGGCGGAAUUCGUCGUGUAGCGGUGAAAUGCUUAGAUAUGACGAAGAACUCCGAUUGCGAAGGCAGCCUGCUGUAGCGUAACUGACGCUGAAGCUCGAAAGCGUGGGUAUCGAACAGGAUUAGAUACCCUGGUAGUCCACGCGGUAAACGAUGGAUGCUCGCUGUUUGCGUCUGACGUAAGCGGCCAAGCGAAAGCGUUAAGCAUCCCACCUGGGGAGUACGCCGGCAACGGUGCAACUCAAAUGAAUUGACGG
rnacentral:rRNA from 1 species